rnacentral:sRNA from 1 species
UGGGAAGUGCUGCUCUAACUGGUCAGCCAUUGAGCUCCAAAGACAGCCCCAGUGCAAGUCGAUGAACUGGCCCCCAGCAGACGGGCAGGGGCUUCAGUCUUGCCCUCCAGGGAGUCUCCCCACACGGCAGCAUCUCUACUGUUUGCAGCUCUCCCCCUCUUGCCCAUGACCCUUUCACUGAGACACUGCAGCCCACCACCAUUCACGGUCAUGAUGUCACACCAGUGCACUCCUCAUGCUCUCCAGAGCCCCUCCACCCAGGGUAACCCACCACAUAGGAGGGAGAGGAGCCCACUUCAUGUGGGAAGAUGUGGAGACAGGAGAAAAGUGCACCCAAGCUGGCAUCUGGCAGAGCCAGGGCUCCAGCAGACAUCUCUCAAGUCCAGGUCUUGAAGAGAGAGCCAUGGUAGGAUGGAUCUUUUCAGAAGCGGUGGGUGGGCCGUUCACAUCCACGUGAAUGGGCCCAAAAGGCAGGAGACCCACACCCCUCCUCCCCUCCCCAGUGGCUGUGGCUUUCCUAGGGACAAUAGGAUGAAUGGGCUUUCAGUGUGGGGACAGCAAAACAUGCACUAGGGCCCAGAGUGGCAGUUCUCUUGGUGUGGAGAGUGCCUGCCACAGGCCUUGGCCAGAGCCCGUGAGGGAGUGGUGUGUGAAAGGCCACCUCCACGUGGGUAAGCGUGAGGACUUGGACUUCUCUGGCACUGAGAUGGGACCUCCUGCCUGUGGGAGUCAUCUGGCCACCACCCUGGGGCCAGUAAAGGUUGGAGCUAGAAGGGUCAUCCUCCCUGACUUGAGCUCUGAGGGCUUUGCCUGCCCAGCCAGAGUGGCAAGGCACAGGGGACCCUCGGGGACGCCCAUGGCCACCCUGGGGAAGACAGGGCUCCUCGCGCGUUCUGCUUUUCAGUAAGGCCCGUGUGUCCUACCAGUGAGCCUCUCACAUGAAAGGGGCUAAAAAUAACACAGGGUACCCCAGCUCCUUCUGCAACAAAACUGUCCACUGGGUGGGCGCUGGACAGUGCUGCCUCAGGAAGGUGAGCGCAGCCCACACUGGCCACACAAGCCACGCCCUGCUGUCUGGGUUUCCGGGUGAUCUCAAACCCUGAGUGCCCUGCGUAGCUACAGGGGUUCCAGUUACUGAAAGGGGCCACCUGGGAAGGAUCCUGCCCUGCUCUUGUCCAUUUACCCAAAAAGCCUAAGGCUGCCAGGCGGCUGAGGGGCCUGUCCUCCAGGUGUGCUCCCUCCCACCUGCUGAAGCUGAGGCGCUGGAGAUGUUGCCUGGCACGUUCUACCCAGGUGACAGGACCCCACUCUGUCCCUGUCUCCAUGCCCUCUUCAAGGGACCCCUUCCAAGUGCCUCAGUGGCCACCCUCCUGAGGGUCCCCCGGCCCUGCCCCCCAGCACAGGCAGGUCCCCCAGCCCCUCUGUCCCAGUUCAGGUGAGUGGGCUGACGUGGUGUGCUCCCCCCAGCACAGGCAGGUCCCCCAGCCCCUCUGUCCCAGUUCAGGUGAGUGGGCUGACGUGGUGUGCUCCCCCCAGCACAGGCAGGUCCCCCAGCCCCUCUGUCCCAGUUCAGGUGAGUGGGCUGACGUGGUGUGCUCUGGUGUCUCCAACUUUGCUCUGGCCCCUUUCUCCCCCUCCCCGACCCUGGCAUGGCAAAUCAUUCGUUCACUGCCAGUGGAUCUGCCACUAGACACUCUGGCAUGGUUUGGGCGUCUCCCUCGCCUUCCUUGGUGAUCUGCAGCCAGCUGCCCUGACUUGGUGACCUGCCUUGUGAUGGUUUUCUCUGUGUUGCUGUUUCAGAAGCCCGGAGAUCAUGAGCACCAUCUCAGGUACACGGAGCACGACGGUCACCUUCACUGUUCGCCCCGGCACCUCCCAGCCCAUCACCCUGCAGAGCCGGCCCCCCGACUAUGAAAGCAGGACCUCAGGAACAAGACGUGCCCCAAGCCCUGUGGUCUCACCAACAGAGAUGAACAAAGAGACCCUGCCCGCCCCCCUGUCUGCUGCCACCGCCUCUCCUUCUCCCGCUCUCUCAGAUGUCUUUAGCCUUCCAAGCCAGCCCCCUUCUGGGGAUCUAUUUGGCUUGAACCCAGCGGGACGCAGUAGGUCGCCAUCCCCCUCGAUACUGCAACAGCCAAUCUCAAAUAAGCCUUUUACAACUAAACCUGUCCACCUGUGGACUAAACCAGAUGUGGCCGAUUGGCUGGAAAGUCUAAACUUAGGUGAACAUAAAGAGGCCUUCAUGGACAAUGAGAUCGAUGGCAGUCACUUACCAAACCUGCAGAAGGAGGACCUCAUCGAUCUUGGGGUAACUCGAGUCGGGCACAGAAUGAACAUAGAAAGGGCUUUGAAACAGCUGCUGGACAGAUAAGGACGGCUGCUCUCCACCUCGCAGACUGCUCUUGUUAUAAGUAGAGAUGGGCUCGUGCUGAAACAUCUGAAUGCCAAGCGAAGUCUGUGAGCAUCAACCCCACUCCAUGGGUUUGUCUCCUGGUACCCAAAGAAAUACUGAGUUGUGUCCACAACAUGGCUGGGUCUUCAGACCCCUGGCUCACCAUGUGGGUGUCUUGGGCAGUUUCUAUCACACAUGGGACAAGGGGAGGGAGUUUUUCUAACAUGGAAAAAGAUUCCCAGCCUGCCGCCCAGCAUGCAGGUGGCCUCGCUUUGCCGGGUCCGAGAGGCUCCCCGUCAAUUUUGCACGGGAUCCUAGCUCUUGUAGGCAGACACCAGUGCACUCUAGAUACCUCCUGAGACCUCCGUCCUCUGCUUUCCGGGCAGCUCUCACCACCCCAGGCCCCGGCAUGAGGCCUUUCCUCAGUCCUGUGGCCUCUCGGAGGACACCUGAUGCUCACCUGCCCCUCUUUCUCCUGCACUUGGCUUGCAGUGAGAUGCUCCCAGAUGCAUUUGUCCAGUGCCCCAUCAUGGGCCUGAAAGGCAGAGAAACUUUUUCCUACACAGAUUCUUUUCCCCAUCUCCUCCUGUGGUUUGCAUCCAUGGCUCUUUGGCCAUGAGGUUCCUGGCAGUGCUGGGAGUUUGGAUGGGAUCGUGCCCAGCUUUGCUUAGCUUUCUUUAUUUCUGCAAAUCUGUUAGCAUAAUUCCAAGGUGGCCAAGCAGAUGUCACAUGGAGUUAGUCAAAGCACAAAGUCACGAUUCCACAAUGGAGGGGAGACCUGGCCAAGGGAGCCAGCCAGCGUGCAGCUGCCCAAGCUCCAGGUCUCCAGGACAAGAGCAGUUGUCUGCCACGAGCACCCAUCCAGGAUGGAGAAUAAGGGCUUCUCUGCCUCUCAGAAUUCUUUUUAAUUGAAGAUGUCUUGAGCUCUGCAAAGAUCAGAGCAGGUGAGCAUCCACUUUGACAUGAAGGACAAGAAGACGCAUGGCUCAUGGCGGGCACAUGCGGCUGCCAGUGAGACAGCGUCUCCUCUGGGAGCUGGGCGGGCACAGCAUCCUCAGUUCUGUGCCCAGCCAAGGGUGAGCAUCUCUGCUGAGACAGUCCUUUUGCUCUCGGAGGCCAGGGAAGAUGGUACUUAGAGGCUUUUCCCCUAUUGCUCUGGGUGUCUAGGAAUCCCACCAGCUUGUCUUAACAGUACAACAGCUUCUUUGAGGACCCAGUGGGUAUGGAGUAUAGACAGAACCCAGGGUUGAGAACAGAAGGUGGGCGGCAGGAUCAGAGUGAAAGCAGAGGCGUGAGGAGAGGAAAGCAGGGAGGUCUCCUGGGCUGCCAGGUCAGCCUCUCUGGCAAGGCUUUCUUGAGCCCCGCCCCUUUCUUUCCCCGGAGUCCCUCCACCCCAUAACAAUACCUCGAAUUUCCAAAAGAGGUCACCAGAUGCACAUGGGCCGCAAAACACACAGUCAGGCUUCCAGCACAUUCUCCCCCAUUUGGAGGAUACUCGAAUGUCAGGUUUUUGGUUUUAUUAUGAUUUCAGAACUAGCUCAGCCCAUCUCUAAUUAUAAAACAUGUUUUUUUUUUCCUUUUUUUCUUGAUUAGGUCUGGAACAGCUCUAGAAUGAACACAUAAAAUUUAGCAAUUUAAAAUCUUUCUUUACUGCAAGUUUAAAUAGUUGUACAGAUAGUUUAUAAGCACAAUAUUUUAAGAAAAAAAAGUGGCUGGUCUACUAGGCAGCCUUUGUGCCACUUCAGUGCUAGAAAGUUAAAGAAAAAAAAAACUUUUGUGAUUUAAUAAUACUAUUUCUGUGGAAUAAUUAUAAAAGUAUGACCUUUUUAAAUCAACCUUAUUUGGAUGCAUCUGAACCAGCAGAGCUGUGUUAUAUUUUCUAUCUUUGCUAGAACUUCGUCAUUGAAGGACAAUUUCUUCAAAGUGGUUACAAUUCAUAAUGCAGCAGUUUCUCCAAAAACAAAAACAAAACACACACCACACACACGCGCUUUUCCAGUCACACACCCCUGAUGUUGGAACCAAGUUUUUGGACCUUCUGGUCCAAAACCUUUUGCAGGUCAAUCUUUGUAUUUGAAAUGAUCCAAUCCAACUUGAAGUCAAUUGAAUAUUAAGGCGCUUUACUUCCGUGUGCUUUCAGUUUUUCCAUCAUGAGAUGAAUGAGCAUUACUCUAGAUAAAUUUCAAGACAGGAUACUACAGGUGGCCUGCUGAGGCUGCCCCAUAUUUUAGAAAAUGUAAAAACGGUGGUUUGGCCAUUAAUUUGUCUUCCAUUUGAUGAUACCGCAAAAUUCCAUGAGUCCAUUCCUUUGGCAUGGCGCUUUCCCUGGGCCUACAGUUGGUAUUACCUCUGUGCUCAGUGCCAGGCAAAACACUAGCUCAAAGGAGAGUCAAGGAAACCGCUGGCAGAUGACAACCAGUCGAAACUCGUGACUUCGGUUUGUUGAACUUUGGCAGCCAGUUGGUGAGGGCCAGAUGUUAUUCCCUUUCUUAAAGAUACUCCAAGCCACAUGCCACUAACCACAAGCAAGCUGGCUGCAAGACUAAAGAGCUGAUAACAUAGUUUAUUUUUACACUGUCUUAUUAUAGAGAAGUAAUAGACCUAUCAGAACCUGCACUGACCAACAAAUAAACACAUGUUGCCAAGAUGAAUCGGUCUCUAUCUCUAUCUGCUUAUUUUGGUACUGAAAGCAAUAGUUCCUCAUUCAAAUCACCACCCACUGUUCUCCCCCUUUGGGACAUGUUAGGACGAGGCCCUAUUCCAUGCUCCUCUUUAAUGGUGGAACAAAUGUUAAACUGCUCAUCUAAAGAUCAUGUUGAUAUUAUUCCAGGUUUUAAGAUCAACUUUUGUUACAUACUGUAAUUUAAAUAAACUGCAUUUACAUGCCUAGUUUCUGUAAUAUUGUGUAUACAAAACCCAAAUCUCUCAAAAUGUAAAUUAUGUAUACCUGCCAAGAUACCUUUUCCAGGGUGUCUGCGCACAUUUUAAGUUAAUUCACAUAAUAUAAAAAUUACUCAAUGUGACUGUUGAUUUGCUGAACUUUACAUAUCACAAAGUGAAUUAUUUGUGAUACUUUAGUUAAUAAAAUGGUAAAUUUUUUUCUCAGUUAUUGAACAAGCAAGCAUUAUCCAGUUGAUCUGGCAAUGACUUUUUGUGUGUGGGCCACAAUAUUGAUUUUCCCAUUAACAAUUUUUUUUUGUUUUUUAAAUACUAAUAUGUUUCACACUAUAGUUUGUGUAACACGUGUUCGCAUUAUCUAUGUUGCUGUUACUUUUGUGCUUUUAUUCUUUUUAGACUUUAUAAAAAAAAAAAAAAAAAAGCUCCUGUAAUUUGCACUUUCUCCCAAUCCUUAAAUCUCUUGUAUGGCAACCAAAAUUACUGUAAAAAAAUAAAUAUACUAUUGCACUAA